rnacentral:rRNA from 1 species
UACGUAGGGUGCGAGCGUUAAUCGGAAUUACUGGGCGUAAAGCGUGCGCAGGCGGUGAGCUGUGUCCGAUGUGAAAGCCCCGGGCUUAACCUGGGAAUGGGCAUUGGAAACAUGGCUCGGCUGGAAGUGGUGGCAGAGGGGGGUGGGGAAUUCCGGCGUGUAGCAGUGAAAUGCGUAGAGAUGCGGAGGAACACCGGAUGGCCGGAAGGCAGCCCCCUGGGCUAACACUGACGCUCAGGCGA